CGGAAGAGAGUGAGGAACACGAUGGUGCCCUUGGCCGUCGCCGAGACCUCGUCAUCGACGAGAUUUCUGGCGGUCAUGCCUCGCCUCUGUUCUCGGGUCACUGAGGGUGGGGUCCGUUGACCUGUGGAGUCCUUAGUCUCUCUCUCCUUAGUUUGAAUUUAGGGUUUGUGCUGUUUUAGGAAAAUUCAUAUAUAGAGUUUGCAAAAUCCUCUUGAGGUGAUCCAAAUUUUGUUGAGUUCCUUAGAUAGUCUAGUUUUUAAUAAAAAUAUAAUAUGCACCAUGUUUUCUGUGAAAAAUAAUUGUUAUGAAUUAAUCUUGUUAAUUUUGUGUAAAUUCAUAUCAUUUGAUAUACUGCUCCAAUUGCUGUGAAAUUUUUAUGCUAUGCUCUGAGUAAUAUUAGAAUAAUCUGAUAAAUAUUUCAUGAUUUUUGGAGAGCUGUAUCUCUGAUAUGUAAUUUAUGUUAAUACUAUGGCUUGAUUUCAUAUUUAAAUCAUAAUAAAUGUUUGAAGCUUAUGCUGGUGUUCUCCUUUGGUGUCAAGCUUGUUUAUAGUAAUAGUAAUAUGUAAAUAAUCUAAAAUAUGUUGUUUGACACUAUCUAAUCCAUGUUACUUAAUUUAUGAAAUAAGUACCUUGUUACUUGUUAAUUACUUAUCUUAAGUUUGGCAUGUGCAAUUGCUCUGAAAAUUUUAUGGUAAUGUCCAGAUGCCAUGCUUGUGCUUCUGUAAGUUUUGUAGAUUUUUCUGAGCACUCUUGCUGGUAUCUUGUAAUUAUGUCCUUUUAUGAAAUUAAAUUAAUAAAUGCCUUGUUAUUGCAUGUUUAGGUGUCAACAUGUGAUGUUCUGGUAAUCUUAAGUUAUGUUUGUUCUUAUAAGCCACUUGGUUGACACUAAAUAUGUUUUUGCUAUGGCAUCAAAUAAUUAAUUAAAGGUUUAUAGCUGUUCUGGACAGCAAGGGAGUAAUCUGACCUUUGCUUGAUGAUAACUUGGUUUCCUGAAACACUUGUCUAAAUCAAAGAUGUUGUAAACUUUGUGAGCUAGCUGCAGUUUAAAUUUGGGAUCAAUUGGUCCAGUAGUUUCAAAGUUAUGGCUCUUCCAAGUUGGGUUCCAGAACUAGGUGCUCUCUGUUUUUCUGGGACAGAACCUGGAACUUUAUUUAGUUGACCUGUUUAACUUAUGAAUAUUACUAUGAUAUCUAAAGAUGAAAUGUAAACAAUUUCAUAAGCUUUCCAGAAUGUCCUCAUUCAUGUUUGUUGGAUCUGUAUAGCUUUAGUUAUGAUUGGUUCUUUGAGCUGCCCUGUUAUUUGGUUGUUGCAGUUUAUGGUUUAACUUGAUGAAUCUUGCUAAGUUAGUUAGUCAUCUUUUGUGAGCUUGUUAUGGGAGUCAUUCCGUAAAUGAGUGUCCAGUGAAGUUCUAAACAUGUUACCAAGCAUUCAUCCUCAUCUAGUAUGCACACAUUUCUUACUCAUCAUGCAUGCAAUAGGUGCACAGGAAGCGGCAACAUCGUUCGAGCUCGAUCGGGUGAACCACGAAGGCCCGGAGAUCACUCAGGAGGCGGCGGUCCAGCUAGCCGGACAAGAGGAGCCCAAAGAGGAGGUCGAGUGCCCUAAUCACGAUCCAGCUUUGUUCGUGAAAGGCAAGCCCCAGAGCAUCUUAAGUCUCCCACUUUAAUUUCAAGAGUAUACUUGAUUAUGUUAUAUCUAUUGAUGCAUUAUGUAUAGGAGUUGUGAUGAAACCCUUGCUGCAUUAUACCCUUUUUCUUGUCCAGAUAUCUUACCACUACCUGGUUGUAGAGUUAGGAUCGAGUAGCAGCAUAGCCAUGCUUUAAUCGGUAGAAGUCGGGUGAUAUAUUGUCACCUGCGCGAAAUAGGGUUGUGUCGGAUCACGAUUCACUAUAGGAGCUAUCAUGGGAAAGAACCUGAUUAAAAUGACUUAAGCCGGGCGGAGUUUUGCAAGGUUGUAGUAACUCCGUCUGUGGCAGCUAAAGACCGAUCAUUGUACGUCCUCUUGUCAUGUUGAACGCAUGCCUGACACUUAGUUGGCCGGAUAACUCGUUCCGACCGCGAAGCCUAGUAGUAUGACACAGGCCGGAAGACCGACAAUUAUAAAGUACGCACUACCGGAGGAAGUGCGGUGUGCGGGGGACCAUUGGCGUAAGACCAAAGGCAGGUGAGUUAAAAGUCCUGACCUCCCUGGUGGAGUGGUAGCCUUGAGAGUGCGGCGCUGAUCGGAGCCGCGAUUCCUGAGUCGUACCAAAGGUGACCCGCUUGCUCUCUGACGGGGGAUGCUUGGUUGAGUGCUAGGAAUAACCCUCCAGCUAGAUUGGAAUCGAUUCGAAUUGCCGUCUCUCCCGGAUAGUGAGAACUUAACAGAGCAGCGGCAAACGUAGCAUUCACUAAAUACAAUGGUUCUUGUUAAUGAUGUUGAUGAUAGCAUGGAAGAACAUAUGAUGAACUUGAUAUGGUUAUUAUUGUUUGUAAUAAUCCAGUGAAGUGUUUAGUCCAGGUGCUAAUCUAGUAGUAGGCUAAUGAUGAUUAAUAUGAUGCUUUUACAAAUGGUGUAGUAUCCACUUAAGCUUUUAGCAAAUGUUAAGUCAAGCCAGCUACACUUUAUACUCAGCCUUGCAUGAUCCUUGGUGUCUUUUUGUUUUGUUAGACGGGUAAGUCUAGCUGAGUACAUCCUCGUACUCAGGGUUUAUUCCCAAGUGUUGCGAUGAUGUCUUUUAUGAUGGCUUCUGCAAGACCUGCCUCCAUCCCACUGGGGAUGAGGACUAAACCGUUGGGCGCGGUUCUCUAACGACUUCGUACCACGAUGCUUUUGGUGGAUGAGAUGAGACUCUGGCAGUAACAAGAACUUAUAAAAGGUGUACGUGUAAACUAUUUUGCUUCUGCUACUCCAAAACUUGUGUUGUAAUAACUAAGAAACUCUGAUGUGGUGCCGCUUCGUCGGCAAUGAAUGACUAUGUAACAUUCACUGUAUUAGGUUGAACUAUUAUGAUCUUGGUUUGUUGCAAGUUGGUUUGAAGUCCUUCGAUAUUUCAGUUGACUACCGGGAUUAUAUGGACUCAUGUCUGGAAACUUGAUUGCUAGUUGAUCGUUUCUACACUUGAACUCUUAUAAUUUGGUCGGUUCUGUGACAUCAGUGACUGGAAUUGAUGCAGCUAUCUAUGCUAUCUGUGUUUCUAUCAUCUUGUUGAAACUCGUCUAACUUUUGACAAAUGAACAAAGAGUUUUAAGCUUGGCAUUGAUGUUCUCAAUGAUCUUGUCAUUGUAGGACAGCUUCUUGGUCAGAUUCUCGUUGAUUUUAGCUUGCCCUAUGACCAGAUCUUUCAAGGAAGGCAGAUUGAAGAAAUUACCCUGCGGGCGGUGCUGAUUGUUCCACCCAUUGUUACCUUGUUGUGGUGGCCGAAACCCAUUGUUGGCAUAUGCUACUUCUUCUUGGGUUUCGGGGCAAUUGUUCCUGAAUGGCCAUCAUCACCACAAACUUCACACGAUGUGUGUGAGUUCACUGCUUGGACGGUGCCCAUGUUGGGAUUUGCAACUUGUCCAUCCAUCCUUUGCAACACCAAGUCUAUUUUUGCGGCAAGCACAACUGCCUCAUUCGCAGAUUGCGAGCCUUUUUGUGUUUUCCUUCCUUCUCUCCAGCUUUGAUUUGCCACCAUCUUCUCGAUGAGGGUAGUAGCUUCAUUAAUGGUGACGGAAAGGAAUGCACCUCCAACUGUGGCAUCUACGUGCCCCUUUGACAUGGCCGUGAGGCCUUCGUAGAAGUUCUAGAGCACAAGCCAGUCUUCCAUUCCAUGAUGAGGAUAGGCUCGGAUGUACUCCUGAAGCCUCUCCCAUGCUUCGGGUAUGGACUCAAGUGGAGACUGCUGGAAGUUAGAGAUCUUCCCCCUCAGAGCGCUGGUCCUGCUCAUCGGGAAGAACUUGGUGAGGAAUGUCGCGGAGCACUUUUCCCAUGUGUCAACAGCUUCCUUGCUCUGAUAAAACCAUUGUUUCGCCUUUCCGGCGAGGGAAAUGGGAAACAAACGGAGCCUGAUACUGUUCUGCGUGACAUCCUUGAUGACGACGGUGUUGCACAGCUCAAGGAAGUUCUAAAGGUGGGCGUUGGCAUCCUCACUUGGCAGGCCACAGAAUUGGCUUGCUUGCACCAUAGAGAUGAGGCCAGUGCGGAUCUUGAAGCUUCUAUUCCCCAUAUUGACAGUGGGCCCAGUCGGCACGUUGGCAACAGUAGGAGUGGAGUAGUCACGGAGUGUCUUGGCUAUAGCGAUUGGUGCGGUUGGUGCUGGAACGGUUGAUUCGCUUGCCUGUUGCGUAGCAGAAGAAGAGAUGGUACGGACCCUUCUCUUCGUUAGGAGUGUUUCUAGAUCACUGUGGAAGUUUGCUGGCAAGUUGAAACCGCUCAUACACUAUCCUGUUUUCAUUCCAAUAAAAAGAGGAAGACAACAGUAAAGUUAUCCUGCUUAAUCUAUGGCUACCAAUGCUUAUUAUGCAAUCAAGUUUUAUGCUAGUAUGAGUUUUGCCUUCCCCGGCAACGGCGCCAGAAAUGCUUGUUGGCAUUUCUUAGUGUCACUACUAAAAAUAGACCAUAGAUCCAUCCUUGCAAUGGCACCAGAAAUGUCAGGUGUUGGCAUACCGUAACUGUCGCCACAUCAGAGAGAUAACCCAAGGCAACUCGAGGGCGUUGGCCUUAGCAGUGCAGUCGGGUAACAAUAAUUAGGAAUGCCGGAUUGGCCUUCCUAACCAUCCUUACUUGCGAUAUGCAAAGCUGUGGCACUACGCUUGAAAGUGCACAAGGAUUACAAUCUUAAGUAACGGUACUUAGGUAUGCCAAUCGAUAGUUCGAAUGAAGAAGUAAUAUAACUGCAAGUGGACAGAACUAUCAUUGUAGCAUUUCAACCCGUGAGUAUUCAAGGGUGUCGAAUUUAUAAUUCCCAUGGAAAUGCAAAGGGAUCAAACAUGGUGUAAACAUGAUUACUUAUUGAAUGCUUGGUAGACAUAGAGUAAAUAGGAAUAAACAUGAUAUUCAAGAUAGUGGACACACAUUGGAUCAACCUCAAGGAUAAAAUAGAAGAGAAAUAAUAAAUAAAGAAUAAAUAAAUAAAUCUACUUGACUAGGCAUGGGUCACAUAUAACUAUGCAUAGAACUAUUAGCGGAUCAUCUAAUUAGCAAUAAAUAGAUUUGGAACUAAGCCUGAGAUGUGGGGAGAUCCCCGCAGCUGGAUACCCAGCCGAUAGAGACUUUACAGAACUCCUAUCGGAAUACCUGAUCGUGGGGGAAUGCAAAGGAUGACAGAGCUGUCACUACCCUGCCAUCUACCCCUCUACCCGAAAGAUACCGGCACAUCCACUAAUUCCCGCAUACCUGAACACCAUGUUCACGUAAUUGGAAACAACUCCUAACCCCCGCGCCCCCCCUUCGGAGUGACAGGCUAGGCUAAGAGCAACCAUCAUAGCACAGUGAACCAUCAUUCCAUUCCUAAUUCUAAUCCUAGUCAUACUAAUCUGAUGAACAAUGAUGAACAUAUCAAGGACAUAGCACAAGAACUAAGAACUAGUUCAUAUACUAUGAACAUGAUAAGAACACAACCAUACUCUAGUUCAUAUGCAUAAUCAUAUAAAGAAAAAUAGAACUUGCUCAUGGAAGAAGAUUGAAUAUUAUUCAUACCAAGAAGAUCCUUUUUUCCAAGGAGACAAGCUCUCCUUGCUAGCUCUUGCCUUUCUCUACUACUAAUCUAGACUAAAGAUACAAGUGAGAGGUGUGAGGUAAAUUGACUCCAAAUGAUGUGUGUGUUGAAAAGGGGGGAGUGCCUCUCUUUUUAUGGUGGAACUAGGAUGGUUCGUCGCAUCUAAAUUUGGUAGUAGGUGAAACCGUCCUUUGCAUGGCGGCAUGCAACCGCCUGAGAAAGAUGGUCCCGGUUUGCCGCCUCCAGGGGUGCGCCGCAGCAGGGCACGGCCGCACACUGGGUGGGUCCCCCCGGCCACCGCCUUCGCAUGGUCAGUUUGGCUCUCGGCCUGGAUCUCUCCUGUGGUUACGAUUAGGCCCAGUUCUGCGUUGUUCGGGCCUUUCUCUAUUUUCUUAGUUUCGCAUUUCUGAAUACGUCUUUGAUGGCGGGGAAACGGGCGGCUAAGACCCGCCUCCGCGUCAGCAGAGACAAAUAUAAAUUUAAAUGGGACAAUAUGAAAAGAACAGGUAUUGCGAGUCCAUACUUCCAUAAUUCUUAUAUUUAUAUAAAAAUUAUGUUAAUUACAUCUCCGAAGAGAACACCCCUGAUUAAGAGUUCCAACAUGAGUACAUGGAAAAUAAGAUUACAUCAUAUGGCUUGCUAUUACAAACUACAAAAGAAAAUGAAAUCUUCAGUCUUGUAGUCACGGACGGAUGCAUGCAUAGGCCUGGCAUAAACUUGAACUUGAUAUUCAUCAUUUCUUUUGAGCAUGACACUUUAUUUGUUGAGCAGGUAAUAUAUAUUCCCUUUAUGGUUGGUCGCUAGCAUGUUUAGCUUCUUAGCAACCCGUGAUGACAACACGCACAUUUAAUCCAUGCAAACUUUUGGGAAUGUCAUAUUAUUUAUUUACGACAUAACAUAUUGACUGCGUAGCCUAACCCAUAUUUUUCUUCUUUUAGUGUUUGAUCUUGCUGUAGGGCUUCAAGCUGAGCUCGGGACAUUAACUUUUCGAAUGGUGCGAGCUGCCCCCGGCCAUUGCAAAGAGAUGGGCCAGUAGAUAUAUCAUAUCCCAUCUGUUGCAUAAUAUAAAGAACUUUGUCAUCAUAUAAAGAGAUAGGCAAUGUUUGAUCAUCUCUAUUUAACAAAGUAACAUGUGUAGACAUUUUUGUUUUCUCAUCCCUCUCAACUUGGGCUUGUUUUAUUUUAUAUUGCACCAAAGGAGGUAGAGGGGUUGGAAAUGAAAUACCUCUAUUUUGAGAGGACUUCUUAUUUACGACGCGAAAUAUUGGGUCACCUUCCUUUCUUUGAUUACUUGGUAUAUACAGAUACACCUUUCGGCUCGACGAGGACUCGCCAACCUCUAUCUUUGGGAUAUUUUGUUCUAGUGGCAAUGUUGUUUUUGGUUUUGAGACUUUGUCAACAGGUUCAAAAUAGAACUUUGCAUCAGCGUAGAAGGUUUCCGCUGUUGUGAAUGGUUUUUUAUCCGCAAAAAUCCUUACUAUGUCUCCCAAAGGAUCUUUGUACUUGAUGCAUUGGUGGAGAGUAGAUGGAAUAACUCCAUUUUCAUGCAGCCAUGGGCGACCAAUAAGAGCGUUAUAUGAGGUUGUCGCAUCAAUCACAUAAAACUUAACAUAGGUUGUGAAGUUCUCAAACUUUAACACUAGGGAUAUGGUACCCAAUGCUUCUUGACCUGACUGGUUGAAGCCAUGAAUCACAACAUUUGAGCGGCAUAAGUCUCCUUUAGAAUACCCAAUCUUUUUGAGGGUACGCAUGGGUAGCAAGUUUAUGGCUGAACCACCAUCAAUCAUUAUACGAUUAACGGGAAGAUCAUCAAUCUCGCCGAACAUAAAAAGCGGUCUGUUAUGUUUUUUAUUUCCUAAUAACAGAUCUUCAUCAUUGAAUGUGAUACUUUGAGUUUGGGGUAAUUUUACUUCUGCUUGUGAAACCUCAACCCUAUAAUCCUCAGGGAUGGAAAGUGCAGUAAUAAGUCCAUUUCGCAAAUCAGAAGAGAGACACAAAGCAUCAUACACAGAAAGCAUAGCUGGUAUUUUCUUCAAGUGUGAGAUUACAUCAUACUUGACCGACACAUUAGGAGUAUGGUCAGUCACAUCAUUCGGAGUUACAUUUGGGGGAUUUCUUUGUUGAGGAUAUGGCCUAGGCAGCUGUCGGCCUGAUCUAAGUUGAACUUCAUCAACUUCGGGCGCCUCUUCUUCAGGGAAGUGAAGAGACUCCUCAUCAUCCUCAAACACUCCGAUGGAGAAAGCAGCGUACUCUUUGAGGGAGUCGUCCUCACACUUCUUUAUAUUUUGGUAGAAGCGCGGGCCUUCACCCUUUUCCAUCAUUCGUCAGAGAGCAAGUCGUCUUGAGAGUUGCUGUCGACGCUCUCCUGAUCUUUGGGAACUUGAUGACCCACCUUUUGGGGUGUGGAUCCAUCGAAGGAAAGUCUUGCUUUCAUGCUGGCACUUAGCUUGCUGUUGUGGAUGCCCUGAGAAAGACAUAUUAACAUACUCAGGUUUUGAUAUCAUAUAUUGAUCAUAAGUUGGCCAUAUUUUUGGAGUGGCACGACUCACCGGAUCACUUUGAAAGGUGGCAACAUUCGACGUAGCCGUGUUCUUUCCAUUCGUCAUGCUUUUGAGCAGAUCGGCAUCUAUGGUGCCUUCAUCUAUGAGCUUUUGUAUCAUGUUUUUCACCACAAAACAAUCCUUGAGUGUAUGACCCAAGAUCAGAUGAAAGUAGCAGAAAUUUGGCUCAUCAAUUUUAGAAGCUUCUUCAGGCCUCUUUGGUUUGGGGAGCUCAAUGAGUCCCAAUUCCCUUAAUCCCAUGAAGAGGUCAUCUACUUCUUCAACCGGGAAGGAAUAUUUUUGAUUUUGACGCUCACUAAGAGUUGGCCUCCUAGGGGUGGGUGUGCCUCCCUUAUUUGGUACUCUUGUGGUCAUGCCCCCAGUUUGGAAUUUUUGGGGGGCCACACUCGCCUCCAUGGCUUGCAUUUGCUUUGGCUUUGAGGAGGUUGGCUUAUCUCGCUGGUUAUUUUUGUCCAACGAUGCCUUAUUAAAUGUCCUUGGUGGACGAGACAAGUGGCGCAUGUAGUUUUCUAUGUCCGUAGCCUUUGAGGACAAUUCUUCAAAAGUUAUUGGUCUUACACCCUGCAAGUGAAUAGCCAUGUCUGGACUCAAGUUAUUCAUACACAUACGAACUGCUUCAGGUUCAGUGAUUGGUUGUGGGCAGUGGAGGCUUAAAUUCCUCCACCUAUUUAUGAAGUCUGCAACCUUCUCAUUUGGCCCUUGCAAGGUCUGAGUCAGCUCAGUAAUUCCCACCAUCCUUUGAGUGCUAUAGAAGCGUUCUAGGAAAGCGUCCUGCAUUUGCUCCCAUGUGCGGAUUGAGCCUGGUGGCAACUUGCUGUACCAUGUGAAGGCUGGACCUGAUAAUGUUUGCACAAACUGACGAAGGAGAAGAGCUCCAUUAUGUGCCGUAUCUUGGCAUGCAGCAAGGAAAUGAGCCACAUGUUCAUGUGGUGACCCAGUUCCAUUGAACUUGGUGAACUGUGGUUGACGAUAGUUGUUUGGAAAUGGUACCAUGUCCACUUCCGGCGGGUACGGUUUAACAUAUCCAGGGCGCAUAGAAUAAUGUGUUUGCAUAUACUGAGCUUUCACACCCUCUGAAAUCAUCCUUUGUAUACCUUCAAGAGUGAUUUCGGGUGGAGGACGAGGAGGAGGACCAUUUUGACUGGUCGAGGCAUCAUUGUCACUGUUUCUAGCAUUGGCCACCUGCUCACGGAGGGCGGCUAAUUCUUCUUCUUUUUGUUGCAGAGCAGCCAUCAUUUGUUUCAUCUGCUCUUCAACAGAUUGUCCAUGAUUUGUGGCAAGCACUUGUUCAGCCUCGCCAGACUCACUUUCACUAUGUAGAGAGGGUGAACCCUCACCACUUGAGGCUUGUGGAUCACCACCAUUUGGGGGAUUCGGAUCAACCGAGCCUGCAGUAUCCAAUAAUUCAUUUUCAAAAUUAGAAUGAUCAUUAAAUAGGGGAUUAUAAGACCCUACAUAGAUCGCAUGAUUUUUUGAAUUACCCGAGUUUGUUUGGCUUCGGGUCGUAGGGCGAUGACCCAAUGGAAUUUGCUUGCGAGGCUUCUUUCUCUUGAAGUGUGUAGAGGCUGAGGAAGCAUCACUUGUGUUGGGAGCUUCUUCCUCAACACUCACCGGCAUGGAAGAGAACACUUCAAAACGGUUGCUCCCAACCCUUUUAUGAGGGGGUUGAUAAGGCACCGUUGUUGUACUCUCCUUUCUUGGAGUGGCUGAUUUUAUCUCACUUCGGGUGCCACCAGCAUGGCUUGAUGAAGCAGCCCCUUGUACUCCACUAGAUGUGGAGUUGAUCGGGAUGGCGAGUUCUCUUUGCUUCAAGGUGGCACGUCUUGCGCGUACAUUGUCAGCUUGCUUUGCAUACUUGCCACGCCGUGAGUCCCUUUUUAUGAACUCCUUAUGCUCGGGCAAUUUAGCCAAAACUUCAGCGCGACGCAUGAUCUCACCUUCCAUAUUAUCAGCAGAUGUGGAUGCUCCAGGCAACAAGCUUCUCAAGUCCUGGCAUAUUGUCCUUUCCAUGGACGCCUGGAAAGCUUGCCUCGCAGCAUUUUGGAUCUUGCGAUAUUCCCUGCUUUGUCGGGCCAAAAUUGAAUCUACCACAUAUGCACGUUGUGCAUUAGUCAUGGAGUCAAUUGAGUUGUUGAAGUUGACCCAUGCGUCAUGGAUGUUGCGUUGCCUUCGGCGACGACGCUUUGGGGAUACAGAAUCUUGUACAGAAGGCCACAAUGGUGCUACCUCUGAUGAUAUGGGAUCAGAGAGUGUUGCGGCAGGAUCCACAUGUCCCUUCCUUAUAUCAUUGAGGGAGAGGUGAAUCCCCUGCCACCGAAGCUCAUGUUUAGGUGCUUCAUUUCUAGGAUUAUAGACAAAUGUGGGGAUGAACUCUGGGGCCUCAACCCGAAGUCGAUUUUUCUUUGGGUGUGGUGCACUCUCGGACGAUGAUGAAUUAGACUCUACCAUCAUAGCUUCUCCCUCGCCAGCAAGGGAUACAUGAUAUUUAUCUUGCCUUAGUUCCACCAUCUCUUUAGGAUCGCUUCUGUUGUCAUCACUUGUACUAACAUAGAAGCCAUGAUUGCGUAGCAACUGCUUAUGGAGUUUUUGCUUGUCUUCGGUACCUUUCUUUUUAGAGAAAGCUUGGCUCAUAGCAUGAGAAAUGGCUUCGUUCCACAUCCAAUUCUUCCUCUUUGCAACACCUGGGCAAGCUGGGCAAGUGUAGAUUCUUUUUGUCUGUUGGUUCUCAAUAAAACACAAAUGUACUUGCUGAUCUAUUGUGUCUUCAAUAUCAUCCGAAGAGUUGGAGCUAAGGUUAGGAGAUUGCAUGAGAUGAAGAUUACAACCAUACUCAUUUUGCAACAUAUCUCCGAUCAUGUAUGGCACGACAACAUCGGUGCACGCAUAGUGGAUUUGGCUGUCUGUUAGGAGCUCGUUAUCCCAAUCUUUAUAACGGAGCGCAGUACCUUUCCCUUCCACACGCAUGCCCAACAACACUUGUGCAAGAGUCGCAAGGCUUGGCACAUUAUCCCAAUGCUUGCCUGGUAUUAUGAAUGGCACCAUGGCUUGUAGCUCUACCUUGUUAGAAAGUUCAAUUUGAUGACCUUCUCGUAACCGAUCCAGGUCGUUAGCGAUUGCCACGCCAACGAAAACGUGGUUUUCAUCCGCAAGGAAACUUUUGAGAUCAUCGGGGAUGAUGCCGGCGUGGCCAACCUUGAAAAGAAGACACUUCUUGCCAACACAUAUUUGAAUAAGGGCUAUUUUCUUGCGGUCCGACUCAAACCACUCAGUGUCUAAACCAACAAUGAGGGUCUUAGACUCUUUGCCAUCCCGCAGGAAGUGCUCCACUGUUGUGGUUGAGGAUGUGACUGUGACUAGUAUUUCAUUCCCACCGACCAUGAACGUCUUUUCUUGGUCCAUGGGGUGAGAGGGGUUAUCAUCAGGCUUGGAUGAUGAGUUAUUCUCUGUCAUCAUGGCCUUUCCUUUGCGUGAGUGGGCUUUUUCUCCCACUACUUUAACUUCCUCUUUGUUGGGUUGUAGGCAUCGAGGUGGAUCCCGCAAUACAAUUCCCCUACUUGGAGGUGGUGGACUUGUUGUUGAAGUAACCUUCAUUGGCGGUGCCCCCAGUAUGCUUGGGGCAAAAGUGGCAGAUGAUGGCAUCGCCCCCUUUGUCUUUGGGGUUGAUGCUAAUGACACCCUUGGUGAUGUCGGUGAUGGUGCCUUUUUGGCACGAAUAGGCCACUCCCCCAAUGUGGUGGGGCGGAAAUUUGGUGCUAUCUUGGAGCUUGAGGGCUUAACCCCCUUGGGCUUGGAGGAGCUAGGAGCCACCGAGCUGGUAGGCACGACCUUGCGCCAACUGGUAGCACAUUCAUUGGAGGCUACCAUCCUUGCUUUGGCAGCAGUUCUUCUUGCCCUCCGCUUGGCAGCUUUGGACAUGACAGGUGUGAAGCCUUCCACAGGCUUCGAGUUGACCUCUUGGUCAUGAGCAACUACAGCUGGAGAGGCAGCUGUGGUGUUGAGGGAACUAGCAUUGUUGGAAACUUGAGCGGGACCCAUGGGAACAUCGACCCAGAGGGAACCAAUGCGGAUGGUGAUGAACUCUUGCACACGUCCAACCAUACCUUCAUAUAAGAAAACCAUUUAUGAGUUUUCGUGAAUGCAAAUAUAUGCGUGCAUAUAAUUUUGUUUGACAAUUUAGGUCAAAGCCAAAUGAUGCAACCAUGUUGGAACUCAAAGAUGAGGGGAGAAGUACGUCCCACUGGGCGUGCCAGAAUCUGAUGGCGGGGAAACGGGCGGCUAAGACCCGCCUCCGCGUCAGCAGAGACAAAUAUAAAUUUAAAUGGGACAAUAUGAAAAGAACAGGUAUUGCGAGUCCAUACUUCCAUAAUUCUUAUAUUUAUAUAAAAAUUAUGUUAAUUACAUCUCCGAAGAGAACAUCCCUGAUUAAGAGUUCCAACAUGAGUACAUGGAAAAUAAGAUUACAUCAUAUGGCUUGCUAUUACAAACUACAAAAGAAAAUGAAAUCUUCAGUCUUGUAGUCACGGACGGAUGCAUGCAUAGGCCUGGCAUAAACUUGAACUUGAUAUUCAUCAUUUCUUUUGAGCAUGACACUUUAUUUGUUGAGCAGGUAAUAUAUAUUCCCUUUAUGGUUGGUCGCUAGCAUGUUUAGCUUCUUAGCAACCCGUGAUGACAACACGCACAUUUAAUCCAUGCAAACUUUUGGGAAUGUCAUAUUAUUUAUUUACGACAUAACAUGGUUAAAUAUUAAUAACUCUACAUAUGGCCCUUUGUUUAAUUAUUUGGACAUAUAUGCAUUGAGUUACAUGAAUUUUGACAUGUAUGUACGCCGACGAAGGGAUGUUAAUUUAUUUAUGUAGUAAAUAUUUAUUUGUUAUAUUUUAUCACGUAUGCAUGCACGUAAUUUACUUUGGAGACUAUAUUUGACAUAGUUUUAUUAUAUCAUGCAACAUUUUGACAUAUAUGAUGCACUCAUCCUAUGUCGCAAUAUUUUAUUUGGCUUAAGGCAGCCCCGGAUUUGGCCGUGGCUGAUGUAGUUGAUUUAUUUUAUUAAAGGAAAUAGCAAGUGCUCAUGACACUAUAUUUUGCCUAUGGGUCAGCAUAUAUGAUGUUAUUCAAUUUGAUUUGAUUGACAUCUUAGCUAGGACGUCCUUUUAUGGAUGUAGUCUAACUAAGUGCAAAAUAUGAGUUAAUUGUGAUAUGCAAGGGCUUAAAAUGAUCCACAACAUGGGUUUUGAUUAUUUUAAACGUAAGAUUGGCUGCAUCAUCAUUCAUAGAUGCAGUCUGUUUUGUAGUAAGAUUAUUUAAUAAUUCAGACGGUUUAUUCUAUGCAUAUUACUUGGUUUAUUCUAUGCAUAUGGUUUGAUCGCGUCGCCGUUCAUCCCGGACGUGGCAUGCAGGUUGAUUUGUGUAUGGGCAAGGAAGAUGCUAGCUAGUUUAUAUGGCGUGCACAUAUGCAGUUGAUUUAACUAGCAUGCAAAUUGAUUAGUACUGAGUAUAUAUGCCCACUCAAGAAACAUGACGUGAUGCACAGGUGCAGGAUAUAAGACAACGCUGCUAUUUUAUUAGCUUUUAGCAUGCAAAUUCUUUAUGAUCACAGCACAUGGCAAUGAUAUGCAUGCAAGUUAUUUAUUUUUAUUUGAUGCAUAAUAUGAACAGGGCCGGCAUUGCCGUGGCCAAAACAUAUGCAGACUUAUUUGGAUAUGGAGCCAAAUCGCGUCCAUACCAAUUUUAUCAUAAACCGGUGGAGCCAAAGUGCGUCCACUAAUUUUGUAUCAUGAACCUUUAACCGGAUUGGAGCCAAGAUCGCGUCCAACCAAAAUUUCACCAUGAACAUAACCGGGGUGGAGCCAAAGUGCGUCCACUAAUUUUGUAUUAUGAACCUUUAACCGGAUUGGAGCCAAGAUCGCGUCCAACCAAAUUUUAACCGCGGGAUGGAGCCAAAUCGCAUCCAAACCCGAAUUUUACCAUGGUAUAUUUGCUGCAUUUUUGCACCUUCACCGGGGCACAAAGCCCUUGCGCAUAGCGCAUAGCGCAGUCAUGGCACUGUUGGCCGACCUUUUUCAGCGCAGGGCGCCAGUCAUGUUUGACACUUUUUACCUUAUAUCUAUCAAGGCGUAAUGCCCAUGUACAGAGCACCGUCCUCACUGGCCCUGUUUAUACCAGAAUAAAGGACAAGGCUUGGCGACAAAAUUGCCGGUGGUGCUUGUGGAUGAAGCAGCCAGAGAUGAGAAACAAGGAUGGGGGACAGGAAGAUCAGAGAAGCACCACCCGGCCUCUCACCUUCUGGAACUCGACGAAGCAGCAACUUUUGUGAGCAGGUCUUGAAGAAUCUCUCUGGCUCCUCACGGCAGCAGCAGUCCUCUCGAUCUUUCCAGCGGCAGCCUGGCGGCAAUUUGUUUGCGAGCGCAGCAGCCUGGAAUGUGGAGCGGCAGCCUGGCGGCACUUCGUGUUUCUGAGAGUCCGUCCUUAAUACUUGCCGAUGGAUGUGUAUUUAUAGGCCGCAGCAGAGGAAGUUGCCAGGAGCUUGGGCGCUCCUUCCGAUUUGAUUUUCAUAUUUGCUAAUCCCGCCAUUAAGCUGCACCGGCGCCAUCCUUAAAUCAAACAGAGCGCGCGUCUGGUGAUCGUGCAGUCCAAGGAAGUUGUAGUCGUCAACUUGGUCUUGGUCUCCUGGACUUAGUCACGGUCAAACUGGGAACCAUCGAGAGGUCACGGUUAAAUUGGGAACCAUCGAGACCUGCUGCUCCCUCUUUAUGGCUGGAAGAAUCACUUUUUGUUUACUUUUAAAUUGGAACAAUUAAUUUAAUGAAGGGAAGUAGGGAGUUUAUCUCCUGCCUGACAUACAUAAGGCAUGCUAGGUAGUGUAUAUAUACCAUCAUACUAUACGUUGCAUGAUCUUGUUUUCAUCCAUGCAUAUGUGAAGUGCGUCUGUAUUUACGGCCGGACGUAUAUCUAUAUACGAGACAUAUACUCAUUAUACUUUUAGGCUAUUGCUCUUUUACUUUGCCGAUAUAAAGAGCGUGUUUGUCUAGACACUAGCACAUUCAUGCAUAUGUAUAUAUAUGUACCCCUUUUUAUUUAUCUUUCUUCUCCUUUUUUUAUUAGGGAUAUUGUAUUAUCCCUUAUUUGCCUAUAUCAUAUAGUUAAAUGAAACUUGAUCAGCUAUGCCAUUUUAUUUAAUAUGAUAUAAAUAUCUCCAUAUAUUUCGGGUAUGCUAAAGAUUGGUGUCAACAGGAUAGAGAAAUAUAAUACUACUUAUUUAUUCCUGCAGCACCGUUUGAGAAUAUUCAUGGUCCGACGUAUUACGUAUGUGCAUAUAUAUAUAUAUAUAUAUAUUUGUAUAAGUUAUUAUCUUUUCUUUUUCUCUAUUUGAAUAAUCAUCAGGUCACUUGUGUGAUAGGUUAUUCUAUCAACACUCUUAAUCAUUCGGAACUGUAUACACAUAUACGCUUUCUCAUCAUGCAUAUUUGGAUAUAGCAUGUAUACAUAUUUAUUAUACCUCUUCACCCAUGUAUAUUUUGGAGUGUACGAUAUCAUUUCUUCCAUUAUUCGUUUCUAUCUUAUAUGGAAUUUGGCCAUAUAUACUAUUUACAUUUAUUUAAAGCAAAUAUUGCAUAUAUUAUCAGUGAGCCAAAGACCGUGUCAACAGUCUUUUGGUACUUUGCGCUUUCUUCGUGGUAUGGCACAUUUUCACUUGUUGCACUAUAAUUUCUGCAAAAUAUAAUCACUAUGGUACAAGUGGAACUUGUUAGUAAUAAAAUGCAUGUGUGUAUAUAAUAUGAUUGCUUUUUCUCCUUUUGGAUCAAGUUGGCAGUUUAUAAUUGGUCUAUAAUGACUGCCAACAACCACCUAAAAGGUGGGGCCCACCUGGCAUAGGCCAGGGGCGGGCGCCCCACCAGUCAGGGGCGGCUGCCCGAGAGGUUCCACCAAUCAGGUGCAACCUUGCAGAUCUUGCCUUCACCGCCUUUGAGGAGUAAUCUUGAGCGUACAUUUAAGUCAGUUUGAUCUGAGGGCUGUGGUGCUUCCUAGGGGGCUAUAAAUAUGACCCUAACCCCCUAGAGAGGAGUUCAUUAUUCUCUGAAGAAUUUAGAAUUAGACAGAGAGGGGUCCCUCGAAUCUAUCUCUUUAAGGUUCUUAACCACCAUCUCAAUUAGAUCUCUAUAGUUCUAUUGCAUAGCUACAUAGGAAUUGAUCUAGAAGGAGUCAAGUUAAUCUUGGAGUCCGGAUCUAUCUUUAUUCUUAGUAAAUUCUUAUUCUUCUUUGUGAUAUUCAUAUUAGUUCUUGCUACUAUGAAUAUGACUUUGAUCUAUUUGAUUAUAUCAGAAUUCACUAUUCUAUUUGCUUAUGUUCUCAAUUAUACUGUUAUUAGUCUACUUUGAUUACGUCACACCCAAAUUUCAAGAACGAAAUAGAGUGCAUAAAGGACUCAUGUGCAUCGCAGAAUCAGUCGCACACAUAAGUUGACAAAUCUCAAAUAGUACCAUCACAAUGUUUAUUACAUAGCAGAAUAGUAAUUAUUACAUAGUCUUAAACAAAUAAAAAUACUAUCAACGGAAGCACCACACAGGGACACUAUCGACUGGUUGACUCCAAGCCUAGUACUCAUAACGGUAGUCCUCAUUCCAGUCAUCUUCAUUAACAUAUCCUAAGGUGUUGUGAAAUAGUAAGAGUGAGCACAUAUCGUACUCAACAAGUAUAACCUGGGGUUCAUGAGGCUCAAUUAGCUGACACUGGUUUGACUACAUUUAGCUUUUAUAUGUAGAUAGCAUGUUUAUAUUUAGAUAGCAGAUGUCAAGGUAGCAUAGUAAAUCCCAUAACCACAUGACCAAAUGUAUACAAGAGUUAUGAAUAACACAUAUAAACAACAUAAUAAACCAUCAUUUAUCAUCAUUAAUCAUGUUCAUCAGUGUCCAUCUAUUCCGUCAAUUUUUCGGGUCACCCAUAUCUGUGGGCACGGCUAGUAUACCAGAUUUAACACUCUGUAGAGGUUGUACAUCUUUACCCAUGAGUCGUGAUUUACUGUUUCGCCUGAGGUGAUCGGCCUCUUAACCCACUACCAAGGAAGGUCGGCAGGGAUCACUAUGAAGCCUUUCAAAGAUUUUGUCUAACAAGUUAGGGCCAUUAGAUUCACUCGGCAGGUAGAUAUAGAGCCCCUUCCAUGGCACAUAACACGGAGCCUAUACACACGAACAGAGGCCGCACUAUACCCAACCUGUUUAGCUAUUCUUACGCCAUUUAAGGUAACCACUAACAAGCUAAAAAAAAGAUCAUCAUACUGAGCUAAAACCAGAGCCAUAUAGCCCUCAUGGUUGUACGAGUUGUCCUAGCUUUUUCCAAGGGAUAAGUCCUUAUGGAGGGUCAAGAUCAAUCUAGCAAAAGCCAGAAUUCUUUUCACCCUUUAUGUUCAUGUUGCUAGAAAGCUUAUUUUUAUUGUUUAUUGUAUAUCCAAAUAUUCAUGUUACAAGAUCAUAGAUUAUAAUCAAGCACUAGCAAGAACUACCCAAAAUGCAUAUCCAAAUAGGUAUCAAGGAAUUAAAGGUAACAAUCAUCUAUGAUUUUGCUAAGGUUGUUAAGGUGGACACAUGCAUAUGAUAUAUGUAUUAAAAGUAUAUAGGUAACAAGGAUGGUCCCAAGUUAUACUUGCCUUGAUCAAAGCUCUCUUGGGGCUGCUGGUGGUCAUCAAAGACUUGGCCUUGCUCACCAAUGUAUUGCUCACCAUCUACACCCGAUCAACAAUCAACAACACGCAUUCCAAUGGAGACAACCAUACACAAGGCAAACAAGCUAUAAUUAGAACAUUACACCAAUAGUGAUAAAACAAAUAUUAAAGUUUAUAAAAAUAUUCUACACAGCACUACGAUCACACAAACGUAAAGUUCACGAAAAUCGGAAUUAAAACGUAGAAGUUAUGAAUUUUCUAAGAUUUUCUAUAGAAGAAUAAUUAAUUAAAUGCUACUGUGAAAUUAAAAAGUUUCAAACCAGUGAAUCAGAACUACUAACAUGUAGAGCUCGCAAAGAUGAAUCUAACAGAAUUUGAAUGGACCAAGUCGGAGUUAAAAUGAGCAUUUUACGAGCAAAUUAAACCCAGUGGCAUUUCUUUAAAUAUAGGAAAGCGUAAUUUGAUUCAAACCGACAAAAAUACGUUUUUGAAACAGCAACACGCCUUUUCUAAAAAUGCCAAGGACCGUGGGUUGUAUUCUAAAGAAGUUCAAGGACUCUUCAACAAAAUAGCCCCAUGAAGGGGUAUCUUCUGAUUUGGGCCACCGAUCGGACGGCUCAGAGUUCAUCUGGAGGAACUCCGGCCAGCCGGCCACCGGAGCGAGGGUCCGGCGCGGCAGCGCCAUGGCUGGGCGAGCCGAGCUUGCCGGAGCUUGCAGUAUGGCCGACUUCGAGCACCAAACUUCGAAAGUAGAUCACCAGGAGAACGAGGGGCUCACCACGAACCCGUCUAGUGGCUUCACCAGAAGCUAGAAGGAGCAAGGGAGGCUUGCGGCGGCGGCGACUUUCUUUCAAUCUUGGCGAGAUCCAAAACCAAGGAAACACUCAGCUAGGGCUCGGGUACGGCGGCUAAGUUGCAAAAGGAAACCUGCAGAGCGAUGCAAGGGCUUUAUAGGGUCUCAGUUGGCGCGCUAGGCAAGAAAAUCCCGUCGUUUACGGAAUCGGUUUUAGCCGGUUCGAUGGGGAGCCCGGCUCGGCCACGUGGGGGAGAAGAAGGAAGGCGCUGUCAGGUAGGGCUAGUGCGUCAGCUGGAUAGGGAGAGAGGGGUGGGGCGCGCGUGGCCUGCUCGGCCAGGGCCACUAGUUGGGCCGGACGAGCGGAAACCAGGGGGAUUGGUUGUCCGAGGGCUAGGGGGGUUGGGCCUUGGCCACUGGCCACUAAGCCGAGAGGAGGAACUUUUCUUUUUUUCUUUUCCAGAGAAUUUCCAAAUAAUGUUUUGGAUCAAAACAAAUUAAAACCAACAGCCAACAGCACAAAUAAUUUAUUAUGCUCCUGCAUGAAUGCAUAAAAAAGUUUCUAACCUAAUGAUAAAUUUUAAUUUCAACAAAAUUUAUUUAUUUACUAAAUUAAAUGCUCACAAAAAUACUUAAAUUAAACAAAUUAAAUCCUGUUAAUAAAAAAUCAAAUCUCGGGUGUUACAAACUCUACCCCCUUAAAAGAAUCUCGUCCUCGACAUUGAACAGUGCUUACUCAACAAACUGUGGAUAUGAUUUUCUCAAAUCAUCCUCUCUUUCCCAAGUUGCUUGUGCUUGUGAAAACUGAUUCCAUUGCACUUUGCACAUUCUAAUGAUCCAACUUCUAGUAACUCUCUCAGUUGUUUCCAAAAUCUUAACCAGAUAUUCCUCAUAUAUGAGAUCCUAUUUCACAGAAGCUUCUCUUAACUGAUUGAAUAAGUCAUCAAUCCUAGGCGAAAGACACUUAGUCUUGGUAGUAACUUCCUUGAGUGACCGGUAAUCCACGCACAUCCUCUGACUACCAUCUUUCUUAUCAACAAAAAUAACUGGGGCACCCCAAGGUGAAGAACUAUGAUGAAUGAACCCUUUGUCUUACAAUUCCUUUAUUUGUUUCUUAAGUUCUUCUAAUUUAUUUACCCCAAUUCUAUAUGGUCUUUUAGCUAUAGGUGCAGUACUAGGUUGUAAUUCAAUAAUAAAUUCAAUGUCUCGGUCAGGUGGCAUACGUGGCAACUCAUCUGAAAAAUAAUCUAGAAAUUUAUUCACUACAUAGUCCUGAAGAUCAACAUCAUCAUCCAGCUGAUUCAAUGUAGCUGUGGGUGGAGCCUGCACUACUACAUAACACUAAUUCGCUCUCCCUUUGAUGUUGUCAUAACUACUACUUUCUCUUUACACUUAAUUUUCGUGGUAUAUUUCUUCAUCCAAUCCAAACCCAAGAUCACAUCUAUGCCUAAAGUUCUCAUAACCAUAGGACUGAUAGGGAAAUCUACGCCCCUUAAAGAAAGACUUGCUGAGGGGCAACAAAAAGAAACUGGUAUAGUUCAUCCCGGUGAAUUUACUAGCAUAGGGGUUUUCAUGGCAACUAGUGGAAAGCUAUGAACUCUAACAAAUGCUUGUGAAAUAAAUGUAUGUGAAGCUCUAGAAUCAAAUAAAACUGUAGCAAGGAUAGAGUUGAUGCUGAACGUCCCAUCAUAAUUUCUGGUCCUUCCUGAACUGUCUCUGCAGCCACAUGAUUCACCUUUGCCCCAUGAGAAUUAGACUUUUGUUUGUUGUUCUGCUGGUUGAACCUCUCUGGACAGUCAUAUGACAUAUGUCCUUCCUUUCCACAGCAAAAGCGCCUACUAGGGGUAUUGGGAGCACUUCUCAUCAUAGGGGUGGCAUUUGAAUUUCCUGAACAGAGUGUCUGCUGACCACUCUGCUGUUGAUUAUGAUUAUGCUGCUGGUAUGGAGGGCGCUGAUUCCCAUUUUGUGUUUGGUUUUGGAAAAGCUGAGGUUGUUGGUUGCGGUCCCAGUGACUAACCUGUCCCUGAAACCUCUGUUGAUCGUCCUGCUGAGAAUUGAAGCACUGGCGAUUAUUGCUACCAGAACCCUGUGCUAGCAUCCUCCUUUUCUUUUGCGCAUGUUAUCUAACACAAUAGCAUGAUUCACAAGAGCCUGGAAGGUAGGAUAAGUAUUUCCAGCCAACUGCAAUCUGAGUUCACAAUAAAGACCUUUCAUGAAGAGACGCUGCUUAUCAGCAUCUUCCCUGACAUCAUUUGGGGCAUAGCAGGCCAACUACUCAAAUGUGUCAUGAUACUCAGCCAUAGUCAUAGAGCCCAUUCUGAGAGAUCUGAAUUCCUCCUGCUUAAGCUCCAUCAUUCCUUCAUUGAUAUGUCAUGCUCUAAAAUCUCUGCAAAAAUUAUUGCCAAGUGAUAGCAAGAGCAUGGUUGGGGCGAGCAGCUUGGUAAGACUCCCAUCAAGUCUGAGCUGCUCCCUGAAGCUGCCCAGAAGCAUACAACACCUUUUCCAUAUCAUUGCAAUGUGCUAUAUUCAGUUGUCUCUCUACAGCACGUAGCCAAUCAUCUGCCUCCAUAGGGUCUGCAGAGUGAGUAAACAAUGGAGGUCUUCCCUUCAUAAAUUCUCCAUGCUUAUCCUUCACACGGACCGGUGGUGGUGGUGGUGGUGUAGGUUGAUCCUGAAGGUGUUGCAUAAAAGCAUGCAUCAUCUCAUCCUGAGUCUGCAUGAGCUCUUCCACAGAAAUUGGGGCAUUAGCACCCCUACCAUGGCCUCUGCCUCUGCCGCUUCUCCUUGCUGCCAUCUGCAUUCCAAGGUACAUAAACAGACGUUAGUAUUAUCUAACAUGAAAAAUAUAAGAGAUAAUUGAAUCUGAAUUUUUCUAGGCGACAUCCAACAUCAGCAGUUCAGAAAAUUGUUGACGGUUCAUAAGUAUCAAUUUUAAUUAUUAAAUAAACAAGAGAAAGGACCAAUAUGCAAACAACACCAAGAAUUAGGGUUUGAUCUGACAGAAUUCCACGAGUUUUGUUGUUUAUUUGUUUCUGCAGGGGGUUAUCAGGAAAUAAGGAAGAAAGGCCCACAUGUCGGGAUUACAUAGAGAUAUUAAUGCACCACACAAUUUUCUACCAUCUAGAAGACUCCAGAAGCCACGGGAACGAACGGGAAGGCGACUGGGCCCGGGGGUAGGGCUCCCGCCCUCCCCCCUUGGGCGCCCGCCCUGACCUAGAGUCUAAUCAGGACUCUCUUCGGGGAUUACGCUCCACUAACCUAAAGGAUCAAGGAUAACCGUUCAAUCAAUGUCGGUUUGAUCCGAUGGCCCACGUUCACCUGAGGGGACUAUAUAAGCAGACCCCCUGGCCCCUGGAGGAGACAAGUUCAUCAUAGAGUUGAGACUAUCCCUCGAAGGAAUACCUCUCCUCUAAAUAGACUUUUGGCUUAGCAUCCAAUGUGAGUAGAAUUAGAUCUUCUAGUUUCUACUAGAUUGAGAGAGAUAGAGUAGAGGUGUAGAUCGGAGGAAGCCCGGCCUGUCGGUGUCUACUCCGAGGUUGUACCUGCGGGAUCAAGAAUUCUAACCCGAGGCUUGCUCCUAGGAUUCUUCAGUAUUUCGACUUCUAAAUUCUAGUAAGUUCUUGGUUUAUUGUUCUUUGGUUUAUGAGUUUACUUUAAUCUCUUCGCGUAGAGUUUAGAGUAAUCAUCUCUAGCGUAGACGUGGUGUUUGGGCUAGAAUACUCAUAGAUAUCCCGUCACUAGCUGGACCAUGGUAGUAGCGAGGAACGUGACAUUUCUGAGUUACCUUUGCAGCCCAUAUCCCAUUAGUAGGAUCGAUAGGGUUUAUAGGUGCAGGUUGAACAUCCUCUGUGGUGUCUAGAUUCCGUAAGCUUUCCCAAUAGAACAGUAGAUUAUCCUUACCAAGGUUAGAACGAGACUACGGUUGCAGUCUUCUCUAUAUAUCACUCACAUCGAGAAACAUUCUUUGUAGCCUAAAGGUUAGUAGUAAUAGACUGGGUUAGUCAGAUGCACUAUUUCUCCUAGUGGUAAUAAAAUAAAUACGAUACUCUGGAUAACCUCCCGGGUGAAGUGCUCAUCGAUAUCCGUGCGCUUGCGGAUCAAUUCCUUAUUGCGUUCCCAAAUAUCAACAAGCAUUCCUGGCGCCAUUGCCGAGGAGAAAGACGGUUUGCUGAGAUAAUGUAACACCCUAAAAAUUGUCUUUUCGAAAUAAAGCUAAAUUAAUUCAAUUUUUGUAUGGUUGUGCUCAUGGAACAUAGGAAAAAUAAUAUUUUUCAUUUAAUUAAAAUUUAUCAUAGGAUAUAGCGACACUUUUGUGCACUCAUGCUCCUGCAUUUCAUUUAUUGUGCUGAGUGGUUUUACUAAAGUUCAAAAGUAUUUCAAAGUGAUUUUAAAAUGGAUUUGAAAAUGACUUUGGAGUAAAGGAAAGGAAAUUAGAAAGUAUAAAAAAAAAAAAAAACCUCUCACCCCUCCGUUCUGGCCCGAAGGCCGAAACCUUUCCCCCCCCGCCCGCGACCCAGCUUUUCCCCCGGCCAAUUCGCUGCGGCCCAGCACGCCAUUUCCCCCUCCCCCUCGCCUCGGCCCAACGCGGCCCACGAACGCGCACGCGCUGGCCCUCCCGUCCUCACCGUCUCCCUUGGCUGGCAAGCGGACCCCGCGCCUUCGGUCACCGACAGGUGGGCCCCGCAAGUCAGGGGUUUUCUCCUACCUUGAGUCGGGGGCGAGCAGGACUCUGUCCCGACCCGAACCCUGAGAUCCGUUUCCAAAUUCUUUCGUGAUUUUGCGUGAUUCGUGGCUUUUGGUUCUAUAAAUAGGUUCGGGAAUCAUGACGCCUUCUUUCCUUCCUGUUUGCGUGGACGCGAGCUCCAUCCUGCCCUAGCCCAGCUCGUAAGUGCCGCCGCCAUCCUGCAGAUCGACGCCGAGCAUGGAUCGGCGCUUCCACCGUGAUAUUGCCUCCGUAAGCUUGAUGUCGGGCUUCGAAAAGAAUUUGCGAAGUCCCCGGACCCUUUUUCCCCUCGUUCUUUGCUUUGGUUUGAUCUCAAUUGGGUGCCGAAUCCUCAGCAGGAACUUCUAUCCGCGAAAUCACGUGGCCGGCUAAUCCCGAGCCUUCCCCGGCCUCGUAAACUCCCUCGGUGAGUUCCCUAUGUUCCUCUCUUGCUUCCCGUGCUUUCGGUUCAAUGAAUCGUGCAUUAAAUCGCGUAAUCAUCUAACUCCGGCGAGCUCCUCCUCCUUCCGGCCAUGGCGCCGCUGGGAAACUCGCCGCCAGCCACCGCGGGCUCCCUGGAAGCCUCCUGGGCCGUAGAAUCUUAAAUCGACGCACGAGAUUAGAAGUUACCCUUUCAGGGUAACAUUUGCUAAAGAGUCCCCGAAAAAGUUCAGAUUAGAACCCGCCGUCCCUUGGCGGAUUAAGUGGUUUACGCUUUUCGUUUCGGAAAACGUAUUCUUACCGACUUAAAAGAAAAUACGUUUUCUACUAUUUACGGUUUUGCCACCAGAUUUAAAUCACUUAUAACAUGCUCAUUUUUAAUCCGUUUUUGUCCAGUCAAAUUGCGUUAGAUUCGUCUUUUCGAGAUCUACGUGUUUGUAUCACUGUCUUCUCAGUAUGAAACUUUUUAAUUUCGUGAUACUAUUUAAUUAAUUAUUAUUCUACAGGAAAUCUUAGAAAAUUCAUAUCUUCUACGUUUUAACUCUGAUUUUCGUGAACUUUACGUUUGUGUGAUCGUAGCGCUGCGUAGAAUAUUUCGAUAAACUUUUAUAUUUGUUUUACUACUGUUUGGUGUAUUGUUCUAAUUAUAGUUUGUUUGCUUCGUGUAUGAUUGUCUACAUUGGAUUGCGUGUUGUUGAUUGAUGAUCGGGUAUAGACGGUGAGCGAUACGUUGGUGAUCAAGAUCAAGCUUUUGACGACCAGCAGCAGGCUCAAGAGAGCUUUGAUUAAGGCAAGUAUAGCAUUUGGAUUUUAUAUUCUGUGACCAUGAUCGUGUGACUAGAUUAAUGUUAAGUAAUAAAUGAUAAAUGACUUUUUAGCCACUUGAUGAUUUAUCUGUAAGUGAUAACCGGGACAACAGUGCAACCAUGAGGGCUAUAAUGGCUCUGGCUUUAGCUCAGUAUGAAGACCUUUUCUAGCUUGUUAGAGGUUACCCGAAAGGGCGGAGGGGCUGAACCGACACGGGUAUAGUGCGAGCCCCUGUCCCUAUGUGUAUAGGCUGCGCGUCAUUGUGCCAUUCGGAAGGGGGGUAUCUAUAUCUGCUCGCAAAGGAAACCUUGCGGCCCUAACAUGUUAGACGAACUUUUGAAAGGCUUCAUAGUGAUCCCUGCCGACCUUCCUUGGAAGUGGGUUAAGAGGCUGAUCACCUCGGGCGAAAGGGUAAAUCAUGACUCAUGGGUAAAGAUGUGCAACCUCUGCAGAGUGUUAAAAACUGGUAUACUAGCCGAGCUCACGGUCAGGAGCGGCCUUGGGGAUUCUUGCUGCGACGAUGAUGAUUCUUGUGUGUUAAUAUGCUCAUUAUUUAUUAUUUAAUGCUUUACAUUAUUUAUGUCACAUUGAUCAUGAGAUUGUGGGAUCUAUACAAUCUAGUUGCUAUACUUGUGGAGUUCGACAUGGACUCACUCUUGCUAUUUCCCCCAAACCUCAGGAGAAGUUAGGCUUGUGAUCAACCAGUCAGUUGGAUCCUGUAGAGAGAAGUUAAUACCCGAAGUUUGGAGUUGUCUAUCCGCUGUUUGCU
rnacentral:lncRNA from 1 species